rnacentral:misc_RNA from 1 species
UGUAUAAGGCUUUAUUUUCCAUUUUUAAACAUACUUGACACAGGGAUAUUCAAGGGACCAGUGCAUAGUGAUUUCAUCGUCAUACAACAUUGACCCCUAUAAUUUUAAAUUGAGAAAAUAUAAAUGGCCCUAAUACUUUGGGUUUACAUUGAACACAAAAUUCAGUACUUGUUUUUACCCCAGAAGUUUUAGAAAUUCUUACACAAGUUUAAAUAAUGAUUGUAUAAUAUCAUGUAUUUUGUAUAUCAACAUGUUUAUAUUACAUAUGAUAUAUCAUGGUUAUAAAUAAACCAAUGUAAAUGCC